rnacentral:rRNA from 1 species
CGCGGCCUAUCAGCUUGUUGGUGAGGUAACGGCUCACCAAGGCUUCGACGGGUAGCUGGUCUGAGAGGACGAUCAGCCACACUGGGACUGAGACACGGCCCAGACUCCUGCGGGAGGCAGCAGUGGGGAAUCUUGCGCAAUGGGCGAAAGCCUGACGCAGCCACGCCGCGUGGGGGACGAAGGCCCUCGGGUUGUAAACCCCUUUCAGCAGGGACGAAACUGACGGUACCUGCAGAAGAAGCUCCGGCCAACUACGUGCCAGCAGCCGCGGUAACACGUAGGGAGCGAGCGUUGUCCGGAUUUAUUGGGCGUAAAGGGCUCGUAGGCGGUUUGGUAAGUCGGGUGUGAAAGCUCAGGGCUCAACUCUGAGAAGCCAUCUGAUACUGCCAUGACUAGAGUUCGGUAGAGGAGCGUGGAAUUUCCGGUGUAGCGGUGAAAUGCUCAGAUAUCGGGAGGAACACCAGCAGCGAAGGCGGCGCUCUGGGCCGAAACUGACGCUGAGGAGCGAAAGCGUGGGGAGCAAACAGGAUUAGAUACCCUGGUAGUCCACGCCGUAAACGGUGGGCACUAGGUGUGGGGCCUAAUCAACGGGUUCCGUGCCGUAGCUAACGCAUUAAGUGCCCCGCCUGGGGAGUACGG